rnacentral:rRNA from 1 species
UCGAGAAUCUUCGACAAUGGGCGAAAGCCUGACCGAGCGACGCCGCGUGCGGGAUGAAGGCCUUCGGGUUGUAAACCGCUGUCGUAGGGGAGGAAGGAUCUGCGAAGAGCAGAACUUGACCGAUCCUAGGAGGAAGGGCCGGCUAAUCUCGUGCCAGCAGCCGCGGUAAUACGAGAGGCCCAAGCGUUAUUCGGAAUUACUGGGCUUAAAGAGUUCGUAGGCGGCUUGGAAAGUGGGGUGUGAAAGCCCUCGGCUCAACCGAGGAAUUGCGCUCCAAACUCCCAAGCUUGAGGAGGCUAGAGGUGAGCAGAACUGAUGGUGGAGCGGUGAAAUGCGUUGAUAUCAUCAGGAAUACCGGAGGCGAAGGCGGCUCACUGGGACCUUUCUGACGCUGAGGAACGAAAGCUAGGGGAGCGAACGGGAUUAGAUACCCCGGUAGUCCUAGCCGUAAACGGUGAGCACUGGACCGAGGGCCUGCACAGGCUCCCGGUCGUAGCGAAAGUGUUAAG